rnacentral:lncRNA from 1 species
GGGGGAGGAGAAGGAGAAAAUGGAAGACAGAGAGGACACAGAGGAGGAGGAAGAAGCAGAAAAGUGGAGCAGAAGCACAUGGUCUGGAGAAACUGCCAGUUCGAAGGUGUCUCAUAAGCUCUGAAAGAUGGAGUGUACUGGGCCCAAGAAGCUCUCCUCUGAGAUAGCUGCCAUAGAGAAGAUCGGAGGACCUGGUUCCUAGAUAAUUCCGGAAGUGACAUCCUGAGUCACCUCUCCAUACCAUAGAGCUGGAAGGGGUUGCUGUCAGGGGUCCAGGAACUCCUCUGCCUAGAAAGGAAAGCUAGCAAUGACCAACUGGGAGGGGGACAAGAGCAUGUGGCUGGAAUGGAAGUGGCCACGAAGGUCACAUCUGGCCUGGUGUCCUCACCUCCUGACACAGGGGUCUGAGAAUCUCCUGUGAUCCCUGCCAGCAUCCACGAGGCAGGCAAGAGAAAGAGUGCUUUGUGAAGGCCCUGAAGCAGAAGACAGAGACAGAAGUGGAACUUCACGAAGAAGCUUGAUCCCAGGGCCACUGGAGUCUGAGGUCCAGUGGAUGGAGAGCCACGAUAAUCCAGAUGACCCAACAGGACCAGCCAAAAUUGGCAUUCUCAGAGCCCUCCUGGAUGCCGAGCAGAUCUUGAUGUAUCUCAGCACUUCUCUGAAGCCUUCCAAACAGGCAGUCUUGCUGGACCAGAGGCUACACAAAAUAAAGGCCUCAUUACCCAUAGCAAACCAAAAAAGAAGAAAAUGCAGCCCAAGAUUGCCAUGGUUACAAGGAUUAGAUGCAAUGGUGGUUAAUUUGCUUUGCACACCCAGUGCUCCUGGUGAACAGUUGUGUCUGAGCAAGAUCUUGACCUGGUCUCUCAUCUGUUUGAGCUUCUGCAGAAUAUUUCAGACCUACAGGAGGAAAAGGAAAAUAGCCUGGUGAGAUCUUUCCAUGUCAGCGAUCCAGCAAAUACCAGCUUUACUCAGCAGGACAAUCCAGUAUCACUUUUCAUCUGAGAUCUUUCCUGUAUCCCCAUAGGAGAAGGGGAAGAGAGCACCUGGGCAUGGAUGUUUUUCUCAAAUGUAAAAAAUUGCUUGACAAUGGAUUGUGAACUACACACUGUGCUGGAGUUAUAGUAAAACACCACAUUUCUCCAAUAGUCUAAUUACUUGAUAUUAAAAAAUAAGUGUGUAUCAGUGUCUGAAUCUAACAUUAAACAGAGGCCUUCUAGGGAGCCUAGCAAACU